rnacentral:snoRNA from 1 species
UUGGAAGAAAUUAAUAGCUCUGUGCAAUGGCUACAAACAACAGUCUCCUUGGUAGUAUAUGCAGCCUGUUGCUUGUAUGGGUUGCUUAAGGGACCUUCGAGACAGUC